rnacentral:rRNA from 1 species
CCUACGGGAGGCAGCAGUGAGGAAUAUUGGUCAAUGGACGCAAGUCUGAACCAGCCAUGCCGCGUGAAGGAUGACGGCUCUAUGAGUUGUAAACUGCUUUUGUACGAGGAUAAUAUCAGACACGUGUAUCUGCUUGCAAGUAUCGUACGAAUAAGGAUCGGCUAACUCCGUGCCAGCAGCCGCGGUAAUACGGAGGAUCCAAGCGUUAUCCGGAUUUAUUGGGUUUAAAGGGUGCGUAGGCGGUUUUAUAAGUUAGUGGUGAAAAUUUGGGGCUCAACUCCGGACGUGCCUCUGAUACUGGAAGACUAGAGAAUAGAUGAGGUAGGCGGAAUGUGUGGUGUAGCGGUGAAAUGCGUAGAGAUCACGCAGAACACCGAUUGCGAAGGCAGCUUACCAAACUGUAACUGACGUUGAGGCACGAAAGCGUGGGGAGCAAACAGGAUUAGAUACCCGAGUAGUC